GACGAACGCUGGCGGCGUGCCUAAUACAUGCAAGUAGAACGCUGAAGGAGGAGCUUGCUUCUCUGGAUGAGUUGCGGACGGGUGAGUAACGCGUAGGUAACCUGCCUGGUAGCGGGGGAUAACUAUUGGAAACGAUAGCUAAUACCGCAUAAUAGUAGAUGUUGCAUGACAUUUGCUUAAAAGGUGCAAUUGCAUCACUACCAGAUGGACCUGCGUUGUAUUAGCUAGUUGGUGAGGUAACGGCUCACCAAGGCAACGAUACAUAGCCGACCUGAGAGGGGGAUCGGCCACACUGGGACUGAGACACGGCCCAGACUCCUACGGGAGGCAGCAGUAGGGAAUCUUCGGCAAUGGACGGAAGUCUGACCGAGCAACGCCGCGUGAGUGAAGAAGGUUUUCGGAUCGUAAAGCUCUGUUGUAAGAGAAGAACGAGUGUGAGAGUGGAAAGUUCACACUGUGACGGUAUCUUACCAGAAAGGGACGGCUAACUACGUG
rnacentral:rRNA from 1 species